ACAGCACCAGCAGGUGGGGACUGACAGCCAAGGAGCAGGGUGAAGAGUCCCAUGUGGGAGAGAAACAACCCAGCAGGACUGGACGGGUUGUGACCAUCGCUGCCUUCCACCUUCCCUUUCCGACUCGAGGACACCAAGUCAGAGGCUCAGCCGCCUGCCGAAGUCUCCCAGCUACUGAAAGAUGGCACGGGAGGUGGAGCCCUGAUGCCUCCAGGUCGCUACCCCCAACUCCUGCAGGACCCCCAACAAAGGCAGUGUUCUGUCCCCCAGGCACCCCACCCUACGCCAUCAGCCAUGGUCUCGUCUGCAUCCAUCUAGAAAAUAUUCAUUUACACAAGUGGAGCAGGAAUAUAUUUUUGUUACAAACUAAUC
rnacentral:lncRNA from 1 species